GAAACAGCCAAAAGUUGUGCUUUUGCGGUUGAUAUAUUCUGGUCUACGAGAGAAAGGCAAACAGGUUAACGAUAAGGAAUUUUAAAGCUUGGUUUUACACUCUCAAAGUUUCUGUGAUCACAUUGGGAAUUUUGCAUAGGUAAAUUCUAAGUUUUGAAGGAUUUGUAAGAAAUGUUUGAGGGAACUGACUUAGCAUUUCACACUUAGGGCCUGUUUAUACGGAAUCCAGGCUGGCCCGCUUAGCGAGACAGCCCGGUAAGCGGGAUGAAUUUCUCUUGUGUUUAUAUGAGAAAAUUUCAUCCCGCUUGCUGGGACAAUUUUCCUAUUUUGACAUUGUUUUGACAGGUAAAAAUACCUUGCGGCGGUAUCUUUGAACUUUCAUCCCGGCAACCGGGCUAGACCGCUUGUGAGUUUAUAUGGAGAAAUUUCCAUCCCGGUAAGCGAGAUCUCGCCUCUUUCAAGCGAGAUCUCGGCAUCGGGGCCAGCCUGCUUGUCCAUAUAAACGAACGAUAACUUUUACUAUAAAAAUAACUACACAGCGAGAUCUCGAUCGCUUACUGGGCUGUCUCGCUUAGCGGGCCAGCCCGGCUUCCAUAUAAACAGGACCUAAGUCGUCAGUUCCCUCAAACAUUUCUUACAAAUCUUUCAAAUCCAGUCUUAAGCAAGAACAGACUAAAUGAGUAUGGUCGGUAAUCUACUGCUAAGGAUAUGAUUGUACAAAUCGUGGCUGUAAUUUAGCCUGCGUAACGGCUCUUAGAGAAACUGUAAUUCACAGAUGGUCACGAUCCGCGAAUAGUGAAAUGGUUUACGGAUCGUCGAUCUGGUUUACGGAUCGUCGAUCUGGUUUACAUUAGGUUUUAACUAGACUAUACCGUAUAAAAUAAGAACUGUAUUUAACCAUUAUUAUUUAAAUAAGCUUAUAUACAUGUGCAAACUUUGUACACUUCAUGAACAACAUUACAAGUGUCUUGCCAAAAUCUCGUCCAGUAACCGUUCCAAUUUUUCAUUGGUUCCUUUCAAACCUGCUACGACUUUUCUUGACCAAUCAAAAUACUCCUGUACUCGUUGCUCAGUUCACUGGAGUCGCUUUUUCCAGGUCUCGAAAAUUGUAAAGUUUGUCUGCCAGUUUCACUAACUUUGCUUUAGGACUGAAACAAAGAAGAGAAGUAAUUACUAAUCUAACUUUUUUGAUACUGAAAACUAUGGCCAUGCAGCCGACAAUUUCAGAUAGUAUAAAAAGAUAAAAAUUCCGAAGAAUAGUGACUAUAAUGUCAUCUUGAAAUUGAGGAUUUCAAUUAAAGCUAGACGAGAUUUUGAAACUGUAUAUUUUCGACUUCAUUUCCAAUUCAUCUGCACCAGAGAGGAAGAAAUACAAUACUUUACAUAUACAGCAAACAUAUACAGAGCAAGAACGAGAGAACACGCGUCACAGGAAGGAAAGAAUUGUCAACUAGACCCAGCUAUUUACAAUUAGACUAAAUUAGUUAUAGAUAAAUAAGUUAUUUGAUUAUUCUAUGUG